rnacentral:rRNA from 1 species
AAGUAUUAGAGGCAUUGCCUGCCCAGUGACUGUAGUUAAACGGCCGCGGUAUCCUGACCGUGCAAAGGUAGCAUAAUCACUUGUUCCUUAAUUAGGGACUUGAAUGAAUGGCUAAACGAGGGUCCAACUGUCUCUUAUUUUCGAUCAGUGAAAUUGACCUUCCAGUGAAGAGGCUGGAAUCCUAAAAUAAGACGAGAAGACCCUAUGGAGCUUAAAUUAAUAAACUUAUAUGAAUAUCUUCCAUAAACCUAAUGGAAUAAAAACAGAAAUAAUAAGCUUAAAAUUUUGGUUGGGGUGACCUCGGAGAACAGAAAAUCCUCCGAACGAUUAUAACAUAGACCAACAAGUCAAAGUAAACCAACUUUCCAAUUGACCCAAAAAUUUGAUCAACGGACCAAGUUACCCUAGGGAUAACAGCGCAAUCCUAUUUAAGAGUCCAUAUCGACAAUAGGGUUUACGACCUCGAUGUUGGAUCAGGACAUCCCAAUGGUGCAGAAGCUAUUAAUGGUUCGUUUGUUCAACG